rnacentral:piRNA from 1 species
UGCUGUUGGCAUCCUGUGGAA